ACAGCAGCAGCCGCGGUAAUACAGAGGAUGCAAGCGUUAUCCGGAAUGAUUGGGCGUAAAGCGUCUGUAGGUGGCUUUUCAAGUCCGUCGUCAAAUCCCAGGGCUCAGCCCUGGACAGGCGGUGGAAACUACUAAGCUGGAGUACGAUAGGGGCAGAGGGAAUUUCCGGUGGAGCGGUGAAAUGCGUUGAGAUUGGAAAGAACACCAACGGCGAAAGCACUCAGUUGGGCCGACACUGACACUGAGAGACGAAAGCUAAGGGAGAAAAUGGGAUUAGAUACCCCCGUAGUCCCUGUCUCUUAUAC
rnacentral:rRNA from 1 species